GGAGUGCUGGCUGAUGCCUCAUUCAGACGGGAGAGGAGGGGAUAAUGGAUUCCAUCUUGUCGUUUGUGCUUUCUUUAUGGUUCGGGACGGAGCGGGACGCCGUCGGUUUGAUUGCGCUGAUGUGGGUCAGCUGUGAAUCUUUCCUGCUCUAAGAGGGAUUUUAGUGUCGCGUGUUUACUGACAAGCACAGCUUGUGAAAAGGAUUUUCAGAUCUCAAAAGGCCUGAAGACUCGCCCGCAAUUCUCGGUUUUGUUUGCUCCACGCAUCAGUUGGCUAGCAGGCCUGUCAUCCACAGCUUCAUUCCCAAAACGCUGAUCUGAAGUGUGGAGAUGAGAAGCAGUGAGAUGUCUCCUGUGAACAAAACGCCUGGCAGCCGGUGGAGCUGGAAAUCCCACAGAACACAACAUCUGUUUCUAUUAGGUCCAAUUAUAGCAGCAUCCUGUCUCUGGAUGCAUCCACCAAACUCGGGCGUUGUAGGCGUCGCGUGCUGAUGACUUCACUUCCCAUCUGCCGCAGACUGCGCAGCAGCGAGGGAUCAUGUCCAGCUCACUGGAGAGUGAAAUACAGUCGGAUAAUCUCUCACAGACGCUGUUGAUGGAGCAGCUACAGUCGCAGAAGUCUGUGGCAGGAGAAAGAAUGUUCUUUGCUUAGUGCCAACACUGUUUAAUUGUUUUGGCUGAAUAAAUAAAAGUAUAUUGUUGUCUGUAUAACACACAUUUAUGAUUAUUAAAAUCCUCCUCUGAUGAAAAUCAUGUUUUUGAGUUUUUAACAUGUAUGUGUGGCAUUUUUCUUAUGAAAGAGAAGAAAUUUAAUAAAAAAUCAGGGGGUGGGAAUCAGAAGUGGAGCACCAAAAGCCACGCCCCCUCAAAGGAGAUUUUGGAAACAGAGGCUUGAGAUUACAACAUGAAACAUGACUUUUGAGACAUUUAGGUUGUAGGAUUUUGGUUAAAAAAACCCAUUAUCAUAAUUAAAACACUACUGGGAAUGUUUUUUUUUUUAAUUGUUAAUUGUCAUAAGGGGACUUUGAUCAACUCAAUAGUCCAUUUCACUAGAUGAGUUUUCUUCACACAUGCUCAAAACUUUAUCCAAAUUCU